AAUAGACCACUUUCGAGUUCAUCCGUCACCGGCAAAAACUCGUCAAUUAUGCACGCCUUUAUGACGUCACUUACCAGAUAGAGGGGCUCGCCUGUAUCCCUGCACUAUUUACGUUCAUCAAGCGUCUUAGUGAUCGUCUUUGUGCAGGAUAACCUAGAAAUAACGGUUGCUCUGUAGGUACUUACUGACAAUUCCCUAAUGACAGCAGUGUUGAUUGUCAAUUUUGAGAAUUCAAUUUGCCGAAUAAUUCGUACAAUAUAGAAUUAUAGUUUUCCAACCACUCGCUCAACAUUGGAAGGAAGUGACGACGCCCCUAAACGCAAAAAUGACGGUGAUAAAGGCGCGUAUAAUUGACGAGUUUUUUCCAGUGACGGAUGAACUCGAAAGUGGUCUA
rnacentral:lncRNA from 1 species